GACGAACGCUGGCGGCGUGCUUAACACAUGCAAGUCGAACGGAAAGGCCCUGCUUUUGUGGGGUGCUCGAGUGGCGAACGGGUGAGUAACACGUGGGUAACCUGCCCUUGACUUUGGGAUAACUUCAGGAAACUGGGGCUAAUACCGGAUAGGAGCUCCUGCUGCAUGGUGGGGGUUGGAAAGUUUCGGCGGUUGGGGCUGGACUCGCGGCUUAUCAGCUUGUUGGUGGGGUAGUGGCUUACCAAGGCUUUGACGGGUAGCCGGCCUGAGAGGGUGACCGGCCACAUUGGGACUGAGAUACGGCCCAGACUCCUACGGGAGGCAGCAGUGGGGAAUAUUGCACAAUGGGCGGAAGCCUGAUGCAGCAACGCCGCGUGCGGGAUGACGGCCUUCGGGUUGUAAACCGCUUUCGCCUGUGACGAAGCGUGAGUGACGGUAAUGGGUAAAGAAGCACCGGCUAACUACGUG
rnacentral:rRNA from 1 species